UAGGGAAUCUUCCGCAAUGGACGCAAGUCUGACGGAGCAACGCCGCGUGAGUGAAGAAGGAUUUCGGUUCGUAAAACUCUGUUGUUAGAGAAGAACAGCGCAUAGAGUAACUGUUAUGCGUGUGACGGUAUCUAACCAGAAAGCCACGGCUAACUACGUGCCAGCAGCCGCGGUAAUACGUAGGUGGCAAGCGUUGUCCGGAUUUAUUGGGCGUAAAGCGAGCGCAGGCGGUCAAUUAAGUCUGAUGUGAAAGCCCCCGGCUCAACCGGGGAGGGUCAUUGGAAACUGGUUGACUUGAGUGCAGAAGAGGAGAGUGGAAUUCCAUGUGUAGCGGUGAAAUGCGUAGAUAUAUGGAGGAACACCGGUGGCGAAAGCGACUCUCUGGUCUGUAACUGACGCUGAGGCUCGAAAGCGUGGGUAGCAAACAGG
rnacentral:rRNA from 1 species